GAAGUAGGUAGCUUAACCUUCGGGAGGGCGCUUACCACUUUGUGAUUCAUGACUGGGGUGAAGUCGUAACAAGGUAACCGUAGGGGAACCUGCGGUUGGAUCACCUCCUUACCUGAAGAUAC
rnacentral:rRNA from 2 species